UACGUAGGGUGCAAGCGUUGUCCGGAAUUAUUGGGCGUAAAGAGCUCGUAGGCGGUUUGUCGCGUCUGCUGUGAAAACUCGGGGCUUAACUCCGGGCCUGCAGUGGGUACGGGCAGACUAGAGUGCGGUAGGGGAGACUGGAAUUCCUGGUGUAGCGGUGAAAUGCGCAGAUAUCAGGAGGAACACCGGUGGCGAAGGCGGCAUUCUGGACCAAUAUUGACGCUGAGGAGCGAAAGCCAGGGGAGCAAACGGG
rnacentral:rRNA from 1 species